CGUACAGGCGGCCAUAUAAGUCGGAUGUGAAAUUCUCGGGCUUAACCCGAGACCUGCAUUCGAUACUGUUUGGCUUGAGAUCAGGAGAGGAGAGUGGAAUAUGUGGUGUAGCGGUGAAAUGCGUAGAUAUCACAUAGAACACCGGUGGCGAAGGCGGCUCUCUGGCCUGAUUCUGACGCUGACGCGCGAAAGUUAGGGUAGCGAACAGGAUUAGAUACCCUGGUAGUCC
rnacentral:rRNA from 1 species